UCAUAGAUGUAAAUAUGAAAAUUCUACCUGAGUACUAAGAAUAAAAAAUUUAAAACUCAAAGGGCUUGGCGGUGUUUUAGACUACUUAGGGGAACCUGUCUCAUGAUCGACAAUCCACGUUAAACCUAACCUCUUUUUGCACUCAGUUUGUAUACCGUCGUCGCCAGGUAACUUUUAAGAUGUAAGCAGUUAGCUAAAUAAAUAAUUAAAUUAGGACGUCAGAUCAAGGUGCAGCCAAUGAAGAGGAGUAGAUGGGUUACAAUUAUUUUAAUCAUAAUUACGGACAAUAAUUUUAAAAAAUUAUCAGUAAGGAGGACUUAAAAGUAAAAUAAAUUAUAUAAAUACUUUGAAUAGAGCUCUGAAACGUGC
rnacentral:rRNA from 1 species